GUAUAGCAUUGUCUAGUGGUUAGAGCGUCCGCCUUGGAUGCGGGAGGUCGCGGGUUCAAAACCCGGUCAAGUCAUGCC